rnacentral:rRNA from 1 species
UACGAAGGGGGCUAGCGUUGCUCGGAUUGACUGGGCGUAAAGGGCGCGUAGGCGGUUCGUACAGUCAGACGUGAAAUUCCUGGGCUCAACCUGGGGGCUGCGUUUGAUACGUGCGGACUUGAGUGCGGAAGAGGGUCGUGGAAUUCCCAGUGUAGAGGUGAAAUUCGUAGAUAUUGGGAAGAACACCGGUGGCGAAGGCGGCGACCUGGUCCGAUACUGACGCUGAGGAGCGAAAGUGUGGGGGAGCGAACAGG